UGCCAGAGGCGGGGAAGCACUGCAGUCGCCCCUUUGUCUGACCGUGAGUCCCGGCUCCAAUGCUUCCUUCGCCUCUUGAAUCACGCGACACGGGGACCUCGUUCCCCCACCCGCGGCGCUAAAAACCUGCCGGGUUUCUGAGGAGCUCUCCUGCCGCCUGUCUCCAACCGAAGGAAAGGCCUCUCUCCAAGCCCCCUUAGCCUUCCGGGUUCCCCGAGGGCCUCCCUCCCAGUGCCUGGGCCACUUACCAGUUCCUCUCCUCCCUCUGCAAUUUGGAAUAUAAAGGGAAUGCAUAUGAAUAACAAAGCCUUCUUCUGUUAUUGAUUUAGCCCUCAAUCCAAAUUCCUCCAGAGAGCGUUUGAGCACAGUUUUAAUCUUCAGCAAACCUACCAUUUCUCCAAGGCGGGGGGAGGGGGGGAAGUGACAUGCAAACUAGAGAUGAAAGGAAAGCCUCGAGGCAAUCUCCCCUACCCACGAUGGGAAACCCGAGAAAUAGACAGGGGAAAUGGAGUGAAGCUCCGGAGUGUGGGACUCACAAAAAAUGGAGGGGAAGUUGGCGAUUAGGAGAAAGGAAAAAUGUGCCCGUUUCUGAUGAAAACACAUCUUUUGAGAAAAACCACAAAAACGGUAACGACCCUUCCCGAAGUGUAAGGUGGGGGAUGGUGUGGCCCCUUGUGCACGGGUUAUUUCUUCUGCAAAGAUUGAAUCGCGAUCAUAUCUCUCUCUGUUUCUCUGUCUCUGUCCCUCCCCCUCAAAAUCGAAGUUAGCUGUCCACGGUCGCCAGUAAGAUAUGAAAGAAAUCAAGCUGGGACAGGGAAAACGAAAGUAGCUCCAAGUCUUAGGUCUCUGCGUUUUCUCUCUCAAAGUCAUGAGGGAGCCCUCCCACCAGGAGAGUUUUCACACUAAGUGAGGUUUUAAAUAUCACUAUGUAACUAACUUACACACUAAAACUUUAGCAACCACUGAGUUGAUUGUGUGGGGAGCUAACCAUGAGGAGUCAUCCAGUUCCUCAUCGGCCAUUUCCCUGAGUGGCAAAAAGGCCUCAAACAGAAAAUUCUAGUGCCUAAAAAUUGCGUCUGAAAGUUUAGGUUUUAUGUUUUCAGUUGUCAACUGCUCUGUGCAGACUGCCCGGAGAAGGCGAUAUGGGAUAAGCUUGAAAUGUUUCUUUUUCGAUUGCCAAAUAUGGGUAUGUCUUUCUAAUUUCAAGACCUUCCUAGUCCAGAUGUUUAUAAUGGUCUUUCCAGGUUGAAAAUUUUCAAGUGAGUAAGUUUUUCUAUGCACAG
rnacentral:lncRNA from 10 species